AACGAACGCUGGCGGCAUGCCUAACACAUGCAAGUCGAACGAGACCUUCGGGUCUAGUGGCGCACGGGUGCGUAACGCGUGGGAACCUGCCCUUAGGUUCGGAAUAACUCCCCGAAAGGGGUGCUAAUACCGGAUAAUGUCUUCGGACCAAAGAUUUAUCGCCUUUGGAUGGGCCCGCGUUGGAUUAGCUAGUUGGUAGGGUAAAAGCCUACCAAGGCGACGAUCCAUAGCUGGUCUGAGAGGAUGAUCAGCCACACUGGGACUGAGACACGGCCCAGACCCCUACGGGAGGCAGCAGUGGGGAAUAUUGGACAAUGGGCGAAAGCAUGAUCCAGCAAUGCCGCGGGAGUGAUGAAGGCCUUAGGGUUGUAAAGCUCUUUUACCCGGGAUGAUAAUGACAGUACCGGGAGAAUAAGCUCCGGCUAACUCCGU
rnacentral:rRNA from 1 species